rnacentral:misc_RNA from 1 species
AACGCACCUUGCGCUCCUUGGUAUUCCGAGGAGCAUGCCUGUUUGAGUGUCAUUAAAUUCUCAAACUCUGAUUGAUUUUGUUUUUGAUCAGAGCUUUGGAUUUGGAGCGUGCUGGCGUCAGUCGGCUCCUCUUGAAUGCAUCAGCGGAAUCCCCAUUCAUUUCGGACGUCAGUGUGAUAAUCAUGUUGCGCUGUCUCUUGCCGAUCUUGAAAGCCCGCUCACAAUGGUCUUCGGACAAACCUCACAUAUCAAAUUUGACCUCAAAUCAGGUAGGACUACCCGCUGAACUUAA